ACGGAAGGCAGCAGUGGGGAAUAUUGCACAAUGGGCGCAAGCCUGAUGCGGCGAUGCCGCGUGAGGGAAGAAGGUUUUCGGAUUGUAAACCUCUGUCAUCGGGGACGAUAAUGACUGUACCCGAGAAGGAAGCUCCGGCUAACUACGUGCCAGCAGCCGCGGUAAUACGUAAGGAGCGAGCGUUAUCCGGAAUUACUGGGUGUAAAGGGAGUGUAGGCGGGACUGUAAGUCAGAUGUGAAAUAUACCGGCUCAACUGGUAGACUGCAUUUGAAACUGCGGUUCUUGAGUGAAGUAGAGGUAAGCGGAAUUCCUAGUGUAGCGGUGAAAUGCGUAGAUAUUAGGAGGAACAUCAGUGGCGAAGGCGGCUUACUGGGCUUUAACUGACGCUGAGGCUCGAAAGCGUGGGGAGCAAACAGGAUUAGAUACCCUGGUA
rnacentral:rRNA from 1 species